GCGGCGGCGGCGGCGGGCGGCGGGCGGGAGCUGUCCGCGGUGCUGAAGCGGCGGCGGCGGCGGCGGCGGAGGCGGCGGGGACCCGGGGCCGGGAGCAGAGGCGCCCUUCUGGGAGCUUCGCCGAAGCCGUGAGGCGAGGGCGCCAGUUGCUCCCCGGCUCAUGCCCGGCGGGCCCCCCAAGCCCCUCGGAGGAGGUGGGACUGCCCUCGGCGGGACAGGCCAACUCAUCUGUGCAUCCUAGAGAGACCUCCAGCCUUAAAGUACAGCACUCCAGAGAGAAAAAGGCAGAAGGAAUAGGCUUCACUUUGGGGAGAAGAAAUAUCCCAGAUAAAAAAACCUUGCUCCUUGGCCAACCCCCAGCCUCAACCCUUGCCCCAAGCAAACCAAGCAGAGAGUGAGAGCCCAGUGCUCUAGCUCUCCAUCAGAUGUGUUAUCUUCCACUGUUAGAUGCUCCGUUUGCUUCUAAGUGUUUGGGAAUGAGCUGCUUCAGUGGAGACGGAGAUUGUUUCAGCAAGAAUAAAGAUUUGAUUUCCACCUGAAAACAGACUAAUUUGUGUAAUGGUAUCACCAUUCCUGUCUUCCCAGCAAUUUUCACCUUUGUCGGCCACAAACCCACCCCUAAGGCAAGCAGUUUUUGCUCUGGAAGAGGCCAGUCCAGCCUGUGGGCGUUCAGGGUGGCAGUGGAUAAAACAGAAGGUGAACUGAAGUUCCCAAGAAAAGAGCAACUGAAACGCCUCCUGUGGGAGCUGAGAAGUAUUCCAGCUGUUUAUCUUUCCUGGGUUCCCCCUCAGCCCUCUUCUCCUCACUCUCCAUAGGUCCUUCUUCAUUCUCAAAUCUCUCUCCAGACCUGACCACCACCCAGGGCUUCAUCUCCAUACAUCAAUUGCCAGGUGGGGUUUCUACCUUUGUAUCCCAAAGGCACUUCAAAACCAAACUCAUCCACUUCUCUUUCUCUUUCUUUCCAUCUGUGUGUGUAUGUUUCAUUUUUUCAGCUUGGUACUUGGUGACCCAUUUCAAUCUAAAUACUCUUUUUUUUCAGUUCAUGAAUCAUGAUCUGCUUUUGCUUCUUUAAUUAUUAUUGUUUUCCCUCCAGUCUCUCUGUUCUGUCUUUCUGACAUUCCUGUUGGAUGGAUGUUUGAUCUCCUGGGACACUCCUCCAUUUCUCUUAACUUGCAUAUCUUCCAUCUUUUUGUCUUUUUGCUCUGAGUCUUGGGAAAUUUCAUUAACUUCUUCUUUUACAUUAAAAAGUUAAUCUUUAACUAUGUCCAUUCUAUUAUCCAGAGUAUCAAUUGAAUUUUUAAAAAUUUGGACAAUUAUUUUCCAUUUUUAAAAUACUUUGUUAUUCCUUGACUGCUCCUUUUUCAUAGCAGC
rnacentral:lncRNA from 1 species